rnacentral:rRNA from 1 species
AUUGAACGCUGGCGGCAGGCCUAACACAUGCAAGUCGAGCGAGCGGCGGACGCGUGAGUAAUGUAUGGGGACUGCCCGAUAGAGGGGGAUAACUACUGGCAACGGUGGCUAAUACCGCAUACUAUCGGCUAACCCAUAUGCGAUUAGCUAGUUGGUGGGGUAAAGGCUCACCUAGGCGACGAUCUCUAGCUGGUCUGAGAGGAUGAUCAGCCACACUGGGACUGAGACACGGCCCAGACUCCUACGGAGGCAGAAGUGGGGAAUAUUGCACAAGGGGCGAAAGCCGGAUGCAGACAUGCAGCGUGUAUGAAGAAGGCCUUAGGGUUGUAAAGUACUUUCAGCGGGGAGGCGGUAAGCGAAGAAGAAGCACCGGCUAACUCCGUGCCAGCAGCCGCGGGAAUAG